UUACAAUGAAGAGUUUGAUCCUGGCUCAGGAUGAACGCUAGCUACAGGCUUAACACAUGCAAGUCGAGGGGCAGCAUUAAGGAAGCUUGCUUUCUUAGAUGGCGACCGGCGCACGGGUGAGUAACGCGUAUCCAACCUGCCCCCUACCCGGGGAUAGCCUUGCGAAAGUAAGAUUAAUACCCGGUGCAGUUAUGAUUCCGCAUGGGAAU
rnacentral:rRNA from 1 species